rnacentral:rRNA from 1 species
GCGGCCUAUCAGCUUGUUGGAGGGGUAACGGCCCACCAAGGCAACGACGGGUAGCUGGUCUGAGAGGAUGGUCAGCCACACUGGGACUGAGACACGGCCCAGACUCCUACGGGAGGCAGCAGUGGGGAAUCUUGCGCAAUGGGCGAAAGCCUGACGCAGCAACGCCGCGUGCGGGAAGAAGGCUUUCGGGCUGUAAACCGCUUUCAGUGGGAACGAAACUGACGGUACCCACAGAAGAAGGAGCGGCCAACUAUGUGCCAGCAGCCGCGGUGAUACAUAGGCUCCAAGCGUUGUCCGGAUUUAUUGGGCGUAAAGAGCUCGUAGGCGGUUGAGUAAGUCGGGUGUGAAAACUUUGGGCUUAACCCAAAGAUGCCACUCGAUACUGUUUAACUUGAGUUCGAUAGGGGAGACUGGAAUUCCU